rnacentral:tRNA from 1 species
AUUUAUAUAGUUUAAUAAAACAUUACAUUUUCACUGUAAAGAUAAAAUUUUUAUUUUUAUAAAUA